ACCAAAGCCACACAAUACAAAACUGCUAGACUGGCCCAAGCCGACUAGAUCCGAUAAUUACCCCCCAACUCCUGUUUCUUAUUUAAAGUGCCCAUCUGCAAGCUAGCAGUGAUGUGGUCCUAGAUUGCCCAGGUUGCAAGGAAACUGUGGUACUGACCCCCAGACUUCUAAAGGAAAUGGGAAGACACGACAGGCUAACCAACGAAUAAACUACUG